UACGGGGGGAGCAAGCGUUGUUCGGAUUUACUGGGCGUAAAGGGCGCGUAGGCGGCGCGACAAGUCACUUGUGAAAUCUCUGGGCUCAACCCAGAACGGUCAAGUGAUACUGUCGUGCUAGAGUGCGGAAGGGGCAACUGGAAUUCUUGGUGUAGCGGUUAAAUGCGUAGAUAUCAAGAGGAACACCUGCGGCGAAGGCGGGUUGCUGGGCCGACACUGACGCUGAGGCGCGAAAGCUAGGGGAGCGAACGGG
rnacentral:rRNA from 1 species